UGGCCUCGAACGCUUCCAGGGAUGGAGGCAUCCACAGCGUCUCUGGGCAACCUAUUCCAGUGCCUCACCACCCUCGCAGUUAAGAACCUCUUCUUAAAUAUCUAAACAUAUUUUCAGUUUAAAACCAUUCCCCCUUGUCCUGUCACUGCAUGCCCUUGCAAAAUGUCCCUCUCCAAAAGUCAACUAGAAAGAGAACAGUAAGAAUAUCUAUUUAUUCUUUCUCUAUUUUUAUUUAGAGCAGUCUAACUUUAAAUGGUAAAAUGCUAGAGAGGUUCUAGAGGCCUACUUUAGCCAGGAGUGCCUAAAGCAGUUCAUUUUUAUUUAGAGCAGUCUAAACCACUGGUUUGCAGACAGUAUCUUCUGCUGUGUGCUCAUUAAAACAAAGCAUAAGGGAAAUGGGCACCAGCUGCACAGAACAGGGUAGGGGCAAAGGGGACACUGGUGUCGGGCAGGGGGAUGGUGGAUGAACUGUGUCUUGCUUUCCCUGCAGAGUGAAGGUACGAGGGGCGACAUGAGCGGGAGGAAUGUGCCUCAGGGGUAAAGUUGAGGAAUAUGGUCUGGAAAAGAGGGUGACUGCACCUGAAGGCAUUGCUCAGAACAGGAAGGUGUAUGCUAAUGAAAGCAGCAAAGAAAACUACAGGAAGAAGCGCAGGCUCGGAUGAGAAGGGAAGGGUAAGUGCGAAAGUCAUCAGCGCUGAGGAGACCAGAGAAGUCACCCAGAGGCCAGGGCAGAGGGUGGAGGGAGAAGCAGCAGCGCACCAAAGCCAGAAACCAGCAGAGCCUGAGAGGAGGGCGAUACAUGGACCUAAGUGAUACAAAAUGCUGCAGUGCUUGGUUAUUCUGGAGUGAGCGUGUUGCUGUGGAGUUUCUUGCCCCAAAUUUUGAACGAUGUAUUAAUAAAUUUUAAAACUGCUA